rfam:Capsicum annuum cultivar Zunla-1 chromosome 10, whole genome shotgun sequence
AUACCUUUCUCGGCCUUUUGGCUAAGAUAAAGUGUAGUAUUUGUUCUUAUCAAUUUAAUAUCUGAUAUAUGGGCCAUUGGCUCACACGAUAUUAACUCAAUUUUUUUGAGGGGGAAGGUCCCAUCAGAGUAGCUUGCUACUUGGGCCUUUGUGUGUGUCGCCUAGGUGUUGCACUACAUCCUUGGAUUGGCUCACUCCAC